AAUCAACGCUGGCGGCGUGCCUCAGACAUGCAAGUCGAACGCGAAACCUUCCUUCGGGAGGGGAGUAGAGUGGCGCACGGGUGAGUAACACGUAGGUAAUCUACCUUUGGGUGGGGAAUAACAGCCGGAAACGGCUGCUAAUACCGCGUAAUGCAGCGGCACCUAAUGGUGACAGUUGUUAAAGCGGGGGAUCGCAAGACCUCGCGCCUGAAGAGGAGCCCGCGGCGGAUUAGCUAGUUGGCAGGGUAACGGCCUACCAAGGCGACGAUCCGUAGCCGGCCUGAGAGGGCGGUCGGCCACACUGGCACUGACACACGGGCCAGACUCCUACGGGAGGCAGCAGUCGGGAAUUUUGGGCAAUGGGCGAAAGCCUGACCCAGCAACGCCGCGUGAAGGAUGAAGC
rnacentral:rRNA from 1 species